CUGGAGCCCGCUCGCAUUUCAACAAUACAGUCACAACAUGAACAGCGUGCACAUCGAACAGAAAUCUUCGCAAGAGAUGCCGUGGAUGACUGCGUAAACGACGACAACGACGGUGUGACGAGCCUACGAGCACGCCACUGGAGCCCGCUGGUGCACAUCGAACAGAAAUCUUCGCAAGAGAUGCCGUGGAUGACUGCGUAAACGACGACAACGACGGUGUGACGAGCCUACGAGCACGCCACUGGAGCCCGCUGGUAUUUCAACAAUACAGUCACAACAUCA